UGAGUACGAGACGCUAAGGCGUUGAAGCAGUCUAUGUCAGACUUCCAAGAAAAGCUCGCAAUGUCAUAAGCAAAAAAUGCCUGUACCAUAACCGACACAGGUGGGUAGGUAGAGUAUACUAAGGGGCGCGAGAUAACUCUCUCUAAGGAACUCGGCAAAAUGACUCCGUAACUUCGGGAGAAGGAGUGCCUUAUUUUUAUAAGGUUGCAAUAACAAGAUCCAAGCAACUGUUUACCAAAAACACAGGUCUCCGCUAAGUCGUAAGACGAUGUAUGGGGGCUGACGCCUGCCCAGUGCCAGAAGGUUAAAGAAGUUGGUUAGUUUCGGCGAAGCUGAUGACUGAAGCCCUGGUGAACGGCGGCCGUAACGAUAACGGUCCUAAGGUAGCGAAAUUCCUUGUCGGGUAAGUUCCGACCCGCACGAAAGGCGUAAUGAUUUGGAUACUGUCUCGGAGAGGGGCUCGGUGAAAUAGACUUGUCUGUGAAGAUGCGGACUACCUGCACCUGGACAGAAAGACCCUAUGAAGCUUUACCGUAACUUGAGAUUGAAAUUGGACUUUAUUUGCGCAGUAUAGGUGGGAGACGUUGAGAAUAUUCUUGCGGGAAUAUUGGAGUCAUCAGUGAGAUACCACUCUUGUAAUGUUAGAUUUCUAACUUUGUAUCAUUAUCUGGUCAAAGGACAGUUUCAGGCGGGCAGUUUGACUGGGGCGGUCGCCUCCCAAACGGUAACGGAGGCGCACAAAGGUUUCCUCUGAACGUGUAGAAAUCGUAUCUAGAGUGUAAAGGCAUAAGGAAGCUUGACUGUGAGACCUACAGGUCGAGCAGGGACGAAAGUCGGUCUUAGUGAUCUGACGGUGCUGAGUGGAAAGGCCGUCACUCAACGGAUAAAAGUUACUCUAGGAUAACAGGCUGAUCUCCCCCAAGAGUUCACAUCGACGGGGAGGUUUGGCACCUCGAUGUCGGCUCAUCGCAUCCUGGGGCGGUAGUACGUCCCAAGGGUUGGGCUGUUCGCCCAUGAAAGCGGUACGCGAGCUGGAUUCAGAACGUCGUGAGACAGUUCGGUCCAUAUCCGGUGUAGGCGUUAGAAUAUUGAGAGGAGCCUUCUUUAGUACGAGAGGACCGAGAAGGACAUACCUCUGGUGUACCAGUUAUCGUGCCAACGGUAAACGCUGGGUAGCUAUGUAUGGAGUGGAUAACCGCUGAAAGCAUCUAAGUGGGAAGCCCACCUCAAGAUAAG
rnacentral:rRNA from 1 species